GAACCUUCAGCAGCACAUACACUAAAACUGGAACGAUACAAAGAAGGUUAGCAAGGCCCCUGCGCUAGGAUGAUUCACAAAUUCGUGAAAUGUUCAAAACGUGG